rnacentral:rRNA from 1 species
UCGAGCGAGCUUGCCUAGAUGAAUUUGGUGCUUGCACCAGAUGAAACUAGAUACAAGCGAGCGGCGGACGGGUGAGUAACACGUGGGUAACCUGCCCAAGAGACUGGGAUAACACCCGGAAACAGAUGCUAAUACCGGAUAACAACACUAGACGCAUGUCUAGAGUUUAAAAGAUGGUUCUGCUAUCACUCUUGGAUGGACCUGCGGUGCAUUAGCUAGUUGGUAAGGUAACGGCUUACCAAGGCAAUGAUGCAUAGCCGAGUUGAGAGACUGAUCGGCCACAUUGGGACUGAGACACGGCCCAAACUCCUACGGGAGGCAGCAGUAGGGAAUCUUCCACAAUGGACGCAAGUCUGAUGGAGCAACGCCGCGUGAGUGAAGAAGGGUUUCGGCUCGUAAAGCUCUGUUGGUAGUGAAGAAAGAUAGAGGUAGUAACUGGCCUUUAUUUGACGGUAAUUACUUAGAAAGUCACGGCUAACUACGUGCCAGCAGCCGCGGUAAUACGUAGGUGGCAAGCGUUGUCCGGAUUUAUUGGGCGUAAAGCGAGUGCAGGCGGUUCAAUAAGUCUGAUGUGAAAGCCUUCGGCUCAACCGGAGAAUUGCAUCAGAAACUGUUGAACUUGAGUGCAGAAGAGGAGAGUGGAACUCCAUGUGUAGCGGUGGAAUGCGUAGAUAUAUGGAAGAACACCAGUGGCGAAGGCGGCUCUCUGGUCUGCAACUGACGCUGAGGCUCGAAAGCAUGGGUAGCGAACAGGAUUAGAUACCCUGGUAGUCCAUGCCGUANACGAUGAGUGCUAAGUGUUGGGAGGUUUCCGCCUCUCAGUGCUGCAGCUAACGCAUUAAGCACUCCGC